UGCAGUACAGGCAGCUUGGAUGAAAUGUCCGUCUCCUACUGUCCUUCCUUCAGCUUCAUUCUGAGCAUGGGAUCAUAGCACCCACCUUGGGAACAGCACUGGCCCAGCAAGAGCAGAGGAGCCUUCAGUACACGGGAACCUUUGAGGUGGGCACCAGUGGCUAAGGUUCAGUGUUUGGCACAGAAGCAGUGAGAAGCCUGAACAGUGUUUUACUGGGGCAGCCACCACAGGAGGAAAAGAGAUUUUUGCCUCUCAGGAUGCCACCAAGAAAGACGAGCACCACCAUGGAAGAGGUUGCCAGGACAGAAAAGAGCUUCUCCAAAAGGUGACAGAGUGGAUGUAAUAAGCUGAUAAGUAGGUACAACUCUAGCUUCCCCCGACUCCCUGUGUGGCAGCCAGAGGAGCUAACUCAGGGGGAAACAGCCUUUUGCCUCUGAGGAGUCACAUCCCGGUCAUUCCACCAGCGUUCACCAUUACUGCAUGUCGUUUCAGCUAAACAGGGUGAAUAUAUGACCUUCUCAAGACUGCCUAGGGAAUGUAAAUGGCUGCAAGAUACGGCAUGCAAGAGAGGUGCACAGCAAAGUGAAGGUGCUUGCCUGCCAGGGAUAACAGAGGAGAACACGUGGGCUCGAGUCCCUCUGUAGCAGAGAAGGGAGGAUUGAACAAGGGUCCCCCCAAUCCUGAGGGUGUUAGCUCACCCAGCGCUGAUGGGAACACUGCACUGCUUGCAGUUGUCCAGCCCCAGCUGAAAAAGACUUUUUUGCUGCUCAGUUUGUAAAAGACAGACACUGGCACCUUUCCCCUCUGGAGAACGGAUGGAGGUAUGUCCCUGAAAAUCCCUGAGGAAAAUCCUACUUUUCCAUGCCGGCUUUGGUUUCUGAUGCCAGUAGGCAUUUUCCUGGGGAGCGUGGGGUAUCAAGCGGACCCUGCUCAGGGCUACCGACUUCAGCUCAGGUUGC